UCAGGGACUGGGGGAGAAGCUGGCCACUUAAGAAGAUGGUCUCCCUUCCCCUCGUCCCCCUCCAGCCCCCUGCCCCCCUGCCCCCUGCACUUCUGUCCCCCUGCUUGGCUCUCCUUACAGGACUGGGGCACCAGGAGUUGUAUUCCCCGGAGCUGCAAGCAAGAGCAGUGGACAGUGGCCUGUGGGCUGAGGGGCCCGUGCCUGAAGAGAACCCCACAAACCACUGAGAAGAAGGCUGAGGGAUGGCGUGCUGCCCCGGGGGUGCCUGGGCGUGCCAGGGCCUGGAAUCAGCAUGCUGAGCUGGGUCCAGUAGCCACGAGUGAGGCCCCGUGAGACCAGGAAGGCCUCCUUGUUGAAGGUUUCACUGGUCACCUCUGCAGAAGGAGGAGGGGAGGGGUUGAGGGCCUGGUGGCCAGGACCCCAGACUACAGCUCUGCUCAGUUUCUCCCAAGGACCCUGGGUCUGAAUCUCGUUCUGAGUGUCUACAGCAUAGCAGGUGUGAACACCACAGAAUCCUUAGAACGAUUUUCCAGGCUUGAGCAUUUGUUAAUAUACUUAUAUCGCAGAUGAGGAAACAGAGGGUCUAAAAAGUUAAGUCACCAGUUAGGGGUGGAGCUGGGCUGCCCGGAUCCCCUGAGCUCUCUCAGGGGCCCAGGCACACACUCCUCAGCCCCAGACCCUGUGUUCAGCUCCAGGGGUCUAGUCCCCAGCCCUUGUUUCUGGGAUCCAGCCCCCAGCACUACUAACCCGUCAGCCCCAGGACCCCGUAGCCGGGCACCCAGCCCCGGUUCCUCCCACCCCAUCUUGAUCUCCUGGUGGUACCUGUGGCGUAGGUAAAAGGCAGAGUUGCCAGUUCUCCGGCACGUUCCAUGAAGGCCGCGAGCCUUGGGCACCAAAACCUGUGGCUCACGUCAUCCGGACAUCGCCGCCAGUCAGCCCGGAGA